AGUGUCGGACAGAUUUUAGAAAAGCGCUAGAGUACCAUCCUGCAGAAGACGACGAACAAAUUAGCACUGCUACAUUUUACUAGAAUAUGAUAGAGGAGUUAUACUGUUAUUCUCCCCUUUGCUUUUUCGCUGAAGCUCGUUUACGGACAACACUUCCCCUGGAACUGGAUCACGAUCACGAAAGAUAAAACCCGAAGGAUAAGAUUUUCAACAGAACCAAAACUCAAGAGCAGUACCCAAAACAAAGAUGUGGUUUGCAAGGGAAGCAGUGGUCAAAUAUCCUGUUCAAACUAAACAGAAUUCUCGUCAGAUCCGUUACUGAUGGACUGACCUGCCAUUGUGUGAUACUGAUAGUGCGCCGAAGGACCUCUCUGACAU